CAAACGGACUCUAACCACAAGGCUUUCUGGAUGAGAAAAAGCUAAUUAAGGGAAAAGACAGAAUGGCUGACAGACUGCCCCCAGAAGCUAUUUUAAGGAUGUUGAGAAGAGAUGCAGGAAGGCAGGAUCUAACUGGAAACCUGGGUGGGCCAGGCAGGCUUCCUAGCAAUGCCUGAACACCCUGUAGGAGAGGACCACGCUGCUGAGUCUUCCUCUGGUCACCUUCCCCAGCAGUGUGAAGGACCUUCUCUUCAGCAGUCAAUUCUCCAUUAAGUGAGACAGCGCAAAUGUAAAACGUCUAAACACAGAUCACCGGUAAAGGCUGAAUUUAGGACCUCUGUAGUGAAAGACAGACCCCUGACAUGCAGAGGAAGAGCUCUCAGCAAGGAACACUGUUUGACAGAAGACCUUCUGAUGUCUUAAAGAGCAGCAGCAGCAGCAGCCACCCACAAACUACAGCCUGAGAAACACAGCCCCCAAGAUGGGGCUGCAUGGAUCUCAUUUACCAACUAGCUGAUUCACUUGAUGUGGGCUGAUACUCGCUCCUGGCUUCAUUGUUUUUCUUAUUUCACUUGUGUUUAUAACAACAUCUGUUGUAGCUGCUUUUAUGUACGAUCACAUAAAAUCAUGUCUUGUACACAGGUAGCAAAAGCACUGGCUUGCCAGUGUGAUAUGUUGGUCAAACUAGUUAGGUUCAUUUUGUCAAUGUACUUUAUCAAAAAUGUAUUUUGCCUGCAGCAAAACAGUCAGUUGGUACAAUGAACUGUCAUAUAUCCACUUUUUAAUAUGAAAAAUAAUUAUUCUUCUGUAUCCAUUAAACUGCUACCUAUUUUUCAGGCUGGAAUUAGGACUGCUUUCACAGAGUAUCCAACUUGCUACCCAAAUGAUUUAAAUAGAUCAGGUGUAACACUGUAAAUAUGACCAAGGCAAAAAGCCAAGGAUAAAAUUGAGUUUUAUCGUAAUAAAGCAGUAAGGCCUCUACUAUAUCUCUGUAGCAGAUAAUUGAUUGUCCAGCUGUACGCACCAGCUUAGGACAUCUGGCCACUUAAACAAAGACUAUGACCACAAGUGAAAUACCCAGUGGCCUGAAUCUCAUUUACACUGAAAACUGCAUGGUUUUGGUGUAAACUGCAUAAGAUUUUAAUGUUCCUGGGAGCUGGCAAAACAAGACAAGGAGUUUUGAUGGAAAGAGAAUCACAUCCAAUGCAGCAUUUUCCCAUAUUUUCUAGGCCAUACUGCCUAUACGGGGAGCCUAAGUCUAGGAGAUGAUGGACUGCAUUAAUCUCAGCUAGGAGGUGGCAGGGCCCUGGCUCGCAGCUGAAAUGGGUGCCUGCUUUUGAGAGGGCUUCUCUAAUCCUCUUUCCCACCAGUGGUCAAAGCUAAAUUAAUCUGACUGCAGGCACUGGUCUCAAUACAGAGGCAGUAUGAAAGUCCUUGCUGCUCUGCCAGCUGGGACCAGUGCCAGCUGGCCAGCACCAACUCCCAGCUGCCUACCUUACACUACCAGUCAGGCACACCAAGAACAUGAGUGCCCUCAGCUGGGAAAGCUGCACGGCCUCUCAGCUGAGACAGGGGGCUGUAAAUUUUUCUGCUUGGUAACAGGACUGCUGCUUACCUAUCUAUAUACUAAUUUAGAUGAAUAAAGGAUGGGCUCAAGACAAUGCCAAACAUACAGUGUAGUUAAUGCUCAGCACUGCCUGUGUGUAAAGCCAUGACAUUCGUGCUCCAAUUACCCUAUAAGCAACUCCUGUGAAGAGGGAACUAUCCACUAAGCUACACAACUAACUCCACCAGCUUUUUCAUACUGCGGACCCUUCUGCGAUGCCUCGGGCUGUCCAAUGCACACAGAGAGCCCCUGCUUUAGGAAACACUUCAAACUCUCACUUUUGUUCUUAUUGACUAGGGCUUAAAAAACAGACUUGACAUCUGGGUUUUUUGAUUCAUAUAGCAGAGAUAAAGUUCAAUAUAUUGAUCUGAACUGUAAGGCUGA